UUUAGCCCCCCGUGCGGCGUCAACUUGCUGAAUCCCCCAGGGCCGGAAGGCAGCAAGGGCAGGUGAGCUCUGACGGGUGUGCGGGGGGUCUUUUUC
rnacentral:SRP_RNA from 1 species